rnacentral:rRNA from 1 species
UACGUAGGGUGCAAGCGUUGUCCGGAAUUAUUGGGCGUAAAGAGCUCGUAGGCGGUCUGUCGCGUCGGCUGUGAAAACCCGAGGCUCAACCUCGGGCCUGCAGUCGAUACGGGCAAACUAGAGUACUGCAGGGGAGACUGGAAUUCCUGGUGUAGCGGUGAAAUGCGCAGAUAUCAGGAGGAACACCGGUGGCGAAGGCGAGUCCCUGGGCAGUAACUGACGCUGAGGAGCGAAAGCGUGGGGAGCGAACAGG